rnacentral:rRNA from 1 species
CGAGUAAGGGCACCCACAGCGCCAAAAACUACAAGUCCGUAGGGCCUCUUCCGUCCCCGACGGCUCUUCUUCUUACGCGGCUGGUAGAUGAUGCAGCACAUUCUAGACGAGAGGGUACUUGAUUUUGCUACCCCAUUAGAACGGUCGGUCCAAAGAACCGACGAACAGAACUUAGUUAAUCUACUUAAGACUAACUAAAGUAAGGGGAAGCUUUUUAGGACUAAUCAAAGAACCAAGGCAACAGACAACCGACGUUAUCCUGCGUGAGAGUCUAUUGGGUCCACCAGGCCCUCGACGCGUUCUACUACCGGUAGAACCAUCGAUUUUACAAUGGUAGAGUCACGUGAGGGACGGAGAAAAAAGAGUAAGUCUUUUCCUUUACGUAAUAGGUUGGUUACAGUUCAUCGUCACCGUCUUUACUUCGGUUAGGUACAUAAAUUAGUAGUACAUCAUCACCCACAACUACGUUGGCAUUAGGGGUCCUCGGAAAGACCCGCCCGAGGUUACAAGAAUUCAAUUUGACGUACAUCAAACUGGUCAGUCAUUAGUACGUUACGUCCGGAGUUCCUUCGUGAUAACGCAGUUAUUCCGGCAUACGUACCGCAACUACUCCUUACCAUUGUAUGUUCUGUGUAAAGAAAUGAUUAGCAAACCCAAGAAGUAACAUUUGGUAAAUCACUCAUGAAAAGAGGGAGUAGUCGUUUUUCGAGGAUCUGCUGUUUCAAGUACCUACGGGUCUUAAGUUCACUCAAAAGGAUCGAAGAAAGUGUCCUUGUGUAUAAUUGUAACUCGUGUAAAGGGGGAAAGGGAUGAUUACGUUCCUCUUUGUACAUAACCGUGCUUACAUGUCUUUGACUCAGCAGCGGGUAGAGAAGUCUGGCUACCGACGAUACUUCAAGUACUAUAACUCCUAGAAGGAUCCCAACCUUCUGUCCAGUUUCCAAAUAGAUAGAGAAACAAAUGUAUCUAAAAGGGACUUAGGGCUCCCUGUGUGAUACGGUGGUGACUUAAGAUUUUAGAUAAGAUGACGGUGGAAAGAAAACCCACAGAUAUCCUACAGGUAUAAAACGACGUGUUUGGUACCGUUUUCGUCAGCUUAACAGUCCUCUCGUUACCUGUAACUAUAGUGACCGAGUUAACAAUAAGAGCUACUUCGCGUCAUUCGGGGACUCAGAGGUUUGGUUAAUAAGACAAAGUCACAGCUAGUUACCAAAGGAAUCAACGUUCUGUUACCGAGGGGUACAAUAGCUAGGCCACAACGACACGUACUCCUGUACCCCUUCCACAUUGUUCCGUCGCGAACACAACGUCACCUCACCUCAGCCGGUAGACCUACAAACGUCUAGUCAGCUUCUUCUCUCCUUCCUAGAACUCCUUCUCAGUUCUUGUUCCACUUGUAGAACGGGCAGCGUUGGGCUGCCGACUCCGCCGUUACUCGUCGCGGGUCGACCUUCUCCGGCAGUUGGAACUAUAAAAGAAGUCAAACCAUAACCGGUUUUAAGACAUAGGGACUAACGAGAUGUGAAUGACGAGGCCACUCAAGAAGGGGGUAAAAGGAGAAACUAAGGAACGAAGGCAACAAGUUGUACUAGAUGAAAGAUUCAAAUAGUUCUAAAACCACCGCAUCGACCAAAUGUCCGAUAUUAAAAUAAAGUUGGUUCACAUACACGAUACUAUAAUUCCAAUGACCCUGUUUACCACAAAGACAUUCCGAUCUGGAUAAAGAAGAGAAGGAUUUAGUCACUACGUGAUUAAUAGAAUUGAUAAGAUACUUAGAGCAGAUAGUAGGCUGCUUGUUUCGAACGCCGCGUACAAACUCAAAUAAGGUUAACAACGUGUUAAACAAGAAGACCUUUUCAGCAACGUCUUAAAAUUACCGCAGUAUAAAGGAAAUCUCUUUAGAAGAUGACUUAAAAAUAAAGGGACUAUGUACGAAUAGUAAAAAAACGGUAUGUACGAAUAGUAAACCGUAUUACAAUAAAACCUGUGAAUUAAAAAAGAACAGAAGGUGUAAAAUUAAGUUCCUCGUCACCAUCUCAAACGUUAGAUAACACCGGAACGUGGAGAAGAUUAGACAACGACCUCUUACUAGGAUCCGGAGUAAUCAAUCGAACUACAUAAAAAAUCCUAUGCGAACUCCGAACGCAGACGAAAAUGCACAUAAAUGACAACAGAAACCUUUAGACUAAAGCCGUUUAGGUGACCUAAACCUCGUUGCAAGUCUCCAUCCGUGUUGUGUUCGUACAAAUCAACAAACUGUUAAAACAAACAAAAAGACUAACUUCUACCUACGAUUGAUGAACUAAGAUUCCACUAAGCUCAGCGAACUAUUUUCAUCUACGUCUAAUAGACGUGAAUAGAGUAUGACUACGAAGGGAAAGAUUUUCGUUCACUUAGGCCAGUAAGGACGGUUCUAUAUAAAAUCCAAUGUGAUUGGACUGGCAUAACUGGCAUAUAUGAUGACCGUAUGUUUUAACUAAUCCACCACUGUGUUACAGGGAAUAAUUCACAACGACAUGGAUGACGAUUUAAUUGGUACGUGUCACUGUGUUACUACACAAACUAGAAGCUUACAAAGAAGUGAGACUUUGGGUCCAAUCUGAACAGGGGACAAUUUAGACACCAAUAUGGAAGACGAUUUAAUUCGUACGUGAAAGUAAACGAGAUAAUAUAAGAGGUUUACUUUUGCCUAUCUGCUUAAGAUUUACCAGCAUUUUGAGAUCCCAUUUAGAAACGACCCAGUAUACACUUAAACCGGAGGUCAGUAAAUGAAUCCAAAGACCUAAACGAACCUAAUACCUUUCAAAUCGAGUGCUCACAUCGGUGAAGCGGUAAACAAAUAAACUAGCUUAUUGAACAUAGAUAAAGAAAAAAUUGUUCUAGCACGACGAGAACUAAUAAACGAAAUACAAAAACUAACUCGGCUCGCUCCUCUUGGUUGUGAUAAAUCGAAAACCCCAGAGACAAAGUUUACUGAGCUGCACCGGAACCGCUGUGACCGAACAUAUCCUUCUCCUACGACUACUGAGGACGAUCUCUCGAGUAGCUGCUGACGUUGUUCGUCAGGGUUCCCUUUUUAGGUAAAUAGUUCCUACUGAGACGAACUACAGCGGCGUAUGGUCGUCUUCUAUUUCGAAUCGGUAUCUGACCUUCUGACCCCGAUAUAUCUAACGAAAGAUUUUGGUUACGUCUAGUGGGACGACUUCUUCUUCCUCUCCUUCAAUCUUUAGUCAAAAGUCAAAAUGUCCACGUUUUAGUUGAGUAAGGUGACAUUAUGACCUGUAGGUCUACAGGUCCUACAGCCUUCGUAGGCGCAACGUAAGUACUUAGACUGUAUGUGUACACUACAAGCGAGGCCAAGGAGGAAGAGAUGGGUCGUCAUACCCAUUGAGUUUCGUAUCUAGACUAACACGAAGAACGUCAGAUACGAAGGAUAGAGGCCCAGUAGGCGGAGGGUUUCUGAUGAGGCUCCUCUUAGCUUUAUUGUCAGUCAGCACCUACCUAAUCUUACCUUAUGAAUAAUGGAACCACUGUUACAGCCCGCCCGCAACUUAGCACCUGUACAGGGGGUACCUAGAUCCGCCGACCCGCUUGUCUACCUGGCUCGAGGGAGGAGACGGGUUCUUCGUCGGCUCGAGGGAGGAUGCGGGUUCUUCGUCGGCUUGAGGGAGGAGGCGGGUUCUUCGUCAGCUCNNNNNNNNNNNNNNNNNCUUCGUCGGCUUGAGGGAGGAGGUGGGUUCUUCGUCGGCUCGAGGGAGGAGGCGGGUUCUUCGUCGGUCCCUUCGUCGUGGCUGCUGGCCUUGUUGUACCGCCUAGGUUUAGCGGUCAGAGGAGACAGGUCUCGACUUGACUCACCGACGGGGGUACUCUCCUGUGCCCGUGUUGGUUUGGGUGUGUGUGGUCUGUGCGCACGUACCACCGAAUAGGCCACCCUCUGAUGGCGAACGAGGGCGACUUGGUAACACAGGGUGUUGCGAACGUGGACAGGUGGGCACUUGCGCCACAGGGUGACGGCGAACGUGGACGGGUGGACACUUGACGGCGAACGUGGGCACUUACAACACCGAGUGGACCUUUUACGUAUAGACUCGCGAGCGUCCACGGUCGGUAGAUAAGGUUCCCCUCUUUUUUUUGAGAUGAGGGUUCCUCAAAAAGAAAAGAAAGAUUUCCCAGAUAAUAAGAGUCCAUGAGAGAGGCGGGGUAUUAUAUUUUAUGAAAAACUGUAAUGUAGUCACAAUUUUUUGCAGAAUGUAAUACCCUGCCUCCCUUAUCCAAAAUAAGUGUAUUUGUUCACACUGCUGGCCAGUUUUAGAAUG